rnacentral:rRNA from 1 species
CAGCGCCGCAAGUGGGGACCUUUUUAUUGGGCCUAAAGCGUCCGUAGCUGGCUUUGUAAAUCUUUUGUGAAAUCGACAAGCUCAACUUGCCGGCAUGCAAAAGACACUGCAUUGCUUGAGACCGGGAGGGGUAUGGAGUAUUUCGGGGGAACCGGUAAAAUGGGAUAAUCCUCGAAAGACUACCUGUGGCGAAGGCGCCAUACCAGAACGGAUCUGACAGUGAGGGACGAAGGCUAGGGGAGCGAACCGGAUUAGAUACCCGAGUAGUCC